UACGUAGGUGGCAAGCGUUGUCCGGAUUUACUGGGCGUAAAGAGCGCGCAGGCGGUCGUUCAAGUCGCGUGUGAAAGCCCCCGGCUCAACUGGGGAGGGUCACGCGAUACUGAUCGACUCGAAGGCAGGAGAGGGUAGUGGAAUUCCCGGUGUAGUGGUGAAAUGCGUAGAUAUUCGGGAGGAACACCAGUGGCGAAGGCGACUACCUGGCCUGUUCUUGACGCUGAGGCGCGAAAGCUAGGGGAGCAAACGGG
rnacentral:rRNA from 1 species